CCUUUGACGUUAGCGGCGGACGGGUGAGUAACACGUGGGUAACCUACCUAUAAGACUGGGAUAACUUCGGGAAACCGGAGCUAAUACCGGAUAAUAUUUCGAACCGCAUGGUUCGAUAGUGAAAGGUGGUUUUGCUAUCACUUAUAGAUGGACCCGCGCCGUAUUAGCUAGUUGGUAAGGUAACGGCUUACCAAGGCUACGAUACGUAGCCGACCUGAGAGGGUGAUCGGCCACACUGGAACUGAGACACGGUCCAGACUCCUACGGGAGGCAGCAGAA
rnacentral:rRNA from 1 species